UACGUAGGGUCCGAGCGUUGUCCGGAAUUACUGGGCGUAAAGAGCUCGUAGGUGGUUUGUCGCGUUGUUCGUGAAAACUCACAGCUUAACUGUGGGCGUGCGGGCGAUACGGGCAGACUUGAGUACUGCAGGGGAGACUGGAAUUCCGGGUGUAGCGGUGGAAUGCGUAGAGAUCCGGAAGAACACCGGUGGCGAAGGCGGUUAGCUGGGCAGUUGCUGACACUGAGGCGCGACAGCGUGGGGAGCAAACAGG
rnacentral:rRNA from 1 species